rnacentral:rRNA from 1 species
UACGUAGGGGGCAAGCGUUGUCCGGAAUCAUUGGGCGUAAAGAGCGUGUAGGCGGUCCGGUCAGUCGGUUGUGAAAGUCAAGGGCUCAACCCUUGAAUGCCGGCCGAUACUGCCGGGCUAGAGUCCGGAAGAGGUGAGUGGAAUUCCUGGUGUAGCGGUGAAAUGCGCAGAUAUCAGGAGGAACACCGAUGGCGAAGGCAGCUCACUGGGCCGGUACUGACGCUGAGACGCGAAAGCGUGGGGAGCAAACAGG